rnacentral:rRNA from 1 species
UUGGGAAUCUUGGACAAUGGGGGAAACCCUGAUCCAGCCAUGCCGCGUGAGUGAUGAAGGCCUUAGGGUUGUAAAGCUCUUUCGCACGCGACGAUAAUGACGGUACCGUCAGAAGAAGCUCCGGCUAACUACGUGCCAGCAGCCGCGGUAACACGUAGGGAGCGAGCGUUGUCCGGAAUCAUUGGGCGUAAAGAGCAUGUAGGUGGAUCAAUUAGUCUGCUGUGAAAGUCGAAGGCUCAACCUUCGAAAGCCGGUGGAUACUGUUGAGCUAGAGUACGGAAGAGGCGAGUGGAAUUCCGGGUGUAGCGGUGGAAUGCGCAGAUAUCAGGAGGAACACCAAUAGCGAAGGCAGCUCGCUGGGACGUUACUGACACUGAGAUGCGAAAGCGUGGGGAGCAAACA